UGUAGACAGACACUUUGUUCCUUCUGGGUGUAGUUCACAAGGAGUAGAGCUGCACGCCUACAGUGUAGUUAGGCCAGUGAGGCUCAGAUCCCUAAAUAUCUUUAGUAACAUGCAAAUAGUACGUGGGCUCUGAAGUCACUGCAGGUGCAUUUGGAAAUUUCACCUUCUAUGAUUGGCUUGGAUGAGUAACUUGUCUGCAGGCUGUUGUAAUAUAAAGUAAGACGUACAUCUGGAUACAGCUUCCUGACUAAGCAGGAAAUGAUCUGGCAUGAAGAUUCCCCAGACCUGUCUUCAGCCGUCCUUGCCCUGCGACCCCUUGGACUAAAGCACGUUGAAGCUGAUUGCUUUAGCCAGCCUUGCUCCUUGUUCCUGGCUUCUUGCCUUGCUUCUGGAAAACACAGCCUGCAUUGUUUCCCUGCCAACUUUACAGUUGCAGAUCAAGGAAAUUCACGAGUGUCAUCCCCACUCUGUGAAUAUCUUCAUCUUCUGCUGGGAAAGUGAUGACUGAAGAGGGCCUAACAUGAAGUGACAGGACUGCAAAGCCUGUAUGUGACUUUAAAGAAGCCUGGUAUGAUCAAACCAGUAUUCAGUGCUGGAGAGCAUGGCAAGAAUCCUUAUUUCCCAAAAACUAAAAGGAAAAAAAAAAUUACAAAAAAAAGGGGGUGGGGACAGGGGGCUGUGGAAAGGAUUUCAUUCUUCCCGAAAUGGGUAUUAUUAGAAAUUCAUGUAAAGCCUCCUCCUACUUAUACCAGUUACUAUGCACAGCCCAGGAUUUUUAAAAAGGUGUCCAUUGACACACAGGGUGCCUGUAGACACACAGGGAGGCUGCUCUAAUGAGCUGUAAUUACAGUGCAUUGGAGCACACUGGAUUAAUCCAGUCUGCUGGAGUGUGCUAAUUAGUGCGCUCCAGCAGCCUCUGCAUCUCAUGUAUCAGCAUCCCCAGGCUUCAAAUUGGUGGUGGGGGUGCUUGUUUGACAAGCUUUAGUUAAAGUGCCCCCACCACCAUUUUGAAGAGCAGGGGUGCUGAUACAUGAGAUGCUGCAGGUGCUUUAAUUAGAGCGGCUCUGUAAAAACGCCCACAGUGUGCAAGUGUCAGUUGUUCUCAGCCUGUUGGCAUCAAGUUUAAGUACUCUGCAGACAACUGUUAGGAACCAGGGUGUGGGCAAUCUUGCCUAAUGGUUAAGCCAUUGAGGGAAGGCAGGAGCCAGAGGCUGGGUCAGAAUUCAGGAGCCAAGUUACGAGGUCUGGAGGAAAAUCCAGGGGCAGAGUCCAGUAUACAGGCCAGGGUCAGGAUCCAGAAAACCAGCAACCAAGUUACCACGGCUGAGGGGCAAUCCACAGGGUGAAGUCUAAGCAAUGAAUCAAGCCAGGAAUCAGGAUCCAGAAAAAAAUCAAUAGCCAAGUUACCAAGUCCAAAGGGCAGUCUGCAGGGCAAAGUCUGAGCACUGAAUCAAGCCAGGGGUCAGGAACCAGGAAAUGGAUCUGUAGGGGAAAUCUGAGGCUGGAGUCCAGGAAAAAGCUGAUGCCAGGGUCAGGAACCAGGAUAAACCAGAGAGAACAGGAAUCAAGAGAUUUGCCACAGCAGACUGGGUCAAAACUCUAGACUGGCUUGGAUACCCACAGCCCCAUUUGGGUCUAAAUGAAUAGAUGGGACUCCUAGCAGCCAAUCAGGAUGCUUGCUGUUCCUAAACUGAGGCAGAGUUCUUGUUAACUGGUGACUCACUGCAGUCAUGGCUGCUUGGGCACUUGGCUCCGGCUGGCCUGCUGUAUAAGGAUCCCUGCCAGCAGUUUGAAACAGGGGCUCUGAAACGCAUGUCAGCUUGCCCAAUUAUCUAAAUGGAGCUUAGACUGAAACCUAGUGUCAUCACUGAUAAUCCUUCCCGUUGCAAUCAUAUUUGAAAAAACACCCGGCAAGUGGAUUUAUCUGUUGUUUUAUGCAUGGGCGUCAUUUAAUACUGGGCAUGAACAGCUGGCCACAUUCAAGGACUGAUCAAGUAGAUCCAAACUGCAGACCUCCCCAGUCCCACCUACUUGGGUAGGGAAGAUUGGAUGGAAUCCUUCAAUACGUGUCAUUGCCCUCUCCAGCUGCCUGACCCCCAGGUAGAGACCACAUAAAAUAAAUAUUUUGUUUAGACAAAAAAUGUUAUUGAAGAAUAUGGUCAGAUUUGAAUGCCUUGAUUUGCCUUCACUGUGAAAAGGGAAAUUGCAGUAGCUUGUUUGCUAGAAUAUGUUUAGUCACAUUGGAAAUAAAUAUGAUUAUU